CUGUCUCUUGGAGUUCCUCUGAGCACUUCACGUACGUGUGUGGCUAGUUCUAUUCUGUAUUACCCUUAGAUAGAAUAGUCUUAAUUAAGUGAAGUGUUUGGGGGAACUUUUGGGAACAA
rnacentral:pre_miRNA from 1 species